UGGGGAAUUUUGGACAAUGGGCGCAAGCCUGAUCCAGCAAUGCCGCGUGCAGGAUGAAGGCCUUCGGGUUGUAAACCGCUUUUGUCAGGGAAGAAACGAGUUUCUCUAAUACAGAGACUUAAUGACGGUACCUGAAGAAUAAGCACCGGCUAACUACGUGCCAGCAGCCGCGGUAAUACGUAGGGUGCGAGCGUUAAUCGGAACUCCUGGGCGUAAAGCGUGCGCAGGCGGUUAUAUAAGACAGAUGUGAAAUCCCCGGGCUCAACCUGGGACCUGCAUUUGUGACUGUAUAGCUAGAGUACGGUAGAGGGGGAUGGAAUUCCGCGUGUAGCAGUGAAAUGCGUAGAUAUGCGGAGGAACACCGAUGGCGAAGGCAAUCCCCUGGACCUGUACUGACGCUCAUGCACGAAAGCGUGGGGAGCAAACA
rnacentral:rRNA from 1 species